rnacentral:rRNA from 1 species
GUGGGGAAUAUUGGGCAAUGGGCGAAAGCCUGACCCAGCAACGCCGCGUGAAGGAAGAAGGUCUUCGGAUCGUAAACUUCUAUCCUUGGUGAAGAUAAUGACGGUAGCCGAGAAGGAAGCCCCGGCUAACUACGUGCCAGCAGCCGCGGUAAUACGUAGGGGGCAAGCGUUGUCCGUAAUGAUUGGGCGUAAAGGGCGCGUAGGCGGCCUGGUAAGUCUGGAGUGAAAGUCCUGCUUUUAAGGUGGGAAUUGCUUUGGAUACUGUCGGGCUUGAGUGCAGGAGAGGUAAGCGGAAUUCCCGGUGUAGCGGUGAAAUGCGUAGAGAUCGGGAGGAACACCAGUGGCUAAGGCGGCUUACUGGACUGUAACUGACGCUGAGGCGCGAAAGUGUGGGGAGCAAACAGGAUUAGAUACCCGAGUAGUCC